AGAUAAAACGUUCAGCAGACUAGAAUGCUACCGUUUAUUCAAAGCCGUCAUAUCAAAAUCAGAGAGUGACGUCAUCUCUUUGUUGAAGAAUAACCUUGAAAUGGCUUUAUAUCCAAUGAGUUUUGAGAUUUUGAUUGACCAAACGCAAACAAAUGAAGGCUUUCCAGUAACCUGUCAGUGCGCUGAUGAGUUUGAAACAUGCCUACCUACAACAGGUAUGACAACAGAAGAUAUGGUAUUGGAACUAGGCAAUUGUUUGAAAACCGGAAAGUGUCUUCAUGUGCGCAGUCAAGAAUCGAGCGUUUCUUUAGGCGAUGGCAUUACAAAGUCGUAUCCUGAAAAUGAUUGUGGUGGCUUCUAUUGGGUUCACUUGGCCGUCAUAAUGAAUAAAAAGGAAUUGGUUCGUGAAAUGUUUGCUUGGUAUUUACAAAAUGAUAAGUAUUCAAAUAUAUGGUUUACACUGAAGAAAAAGUUGUCGGUCUUAUAUCUAGCUCUCGUACAUAACCGUAAAGAAAUAAUGAAUGAAAUCAUGAAGUUAAUUGAUAAACUGGACAAAGGAUCAGUCUACUAUAUAUUAUGUGAAUAUGAUUUAAAUAAGUCUGUUGAAAAAGACAGACUUGAUGUUUUCAAGGUGUUGGCAGAAAAAAUUCAGCUUGAGAAGGCGAAUUGCGGCAAAAUGAGAGAUUUGUACAAUCUAGCAGUUCGUUCCUGUGCUCAUGGUUGUCUUGAAUUCAUUGCUGAUAAUUACGGAAAGAUAUUAGAAACUAUGUUGUUUUACGAAAAAUCAUCAAAUAUCAUAAACAAUUUGGGCAUCGCAAUAAAAUCAGGAGAUGGUAAGCUUUUCUCAAUAGUCAUGAACGAAUAUGUCAAAUUAUGAUCCAACAGAAGGCUGGUUAAAGAGCAAAUUCUCAAUUGGUUUAUACAAGCAAUUUUAAAUCACAACAUAAGAGCAGUAAAAGUCAUUAUUAUAGGGUCAGAUAUUCAUACUGAACCCGAACUACGAUCGGCGCUAUGUAAAUUGCGGUAUGGUGGUUACAGUGCACUUAAAUGGGCUGAAGAACUCGAGUUGACCGACAUAGCGACCUAUUUGAGUGAGGAACAUUUUGUUGCUCUUGGUUCUGCUCACAGCCCCUGGUCUGCAAUUAGUUCUGUAAUUAUCAUGGAAAAUAAACAUUCAAUUGAAAAUGAACAUUUAUUUGAAAAUGAACAUUUAAUUGAAAAUGUAGCAACACUUAUCAGUAGAGGACACGAUGUGAAUAAAGCCAAUAGCGAUUUUACACACUCUGGAGCAAAUUUUAACGAAUGCAACACUCAGGACAGAGUAAUGUUAAACGAGACGCCAUUUUUUGUAGCUCUAAAAACCGGCAGAUACGAUGUAUUGGUAAAACUAUUGUUGAAUGGGGCACUUUCAGUAGCUGAUGAGAGAUUUUUAUACAGACUUGUGGAAAUCAACACCCGAGCUAAAGUGUUUUAUUUACUACUUUCAUGUAACGCCAUAGAUAGCAUGCCGGCAGGUGACACGUCUCUUUUGCAGUAUCUUUUAAUUCGGAGUACAUGCGUGGAUGUACCUAGCCAUAUUAAACCGAAAGUAAAAGAUCUCGUCCUUCUUCUUUUAGAAACAUUUAGUUGUUUCUGUUAUGAGGAUAAACGGUUCAUUUUAUCAAAUGAUAUUAAUACUAUUGAUGAAGAAAUAUUAGCAAAAGUUCACAGUGUGCUUUACGAACCACGAACAUUAGCCGAUUUGUGCAGACGUCGCUUGAGAAGUCAUUUAGGUCUUAGUUUUCAAAUGUUUAUCAACUACAUCAAACAGGAAGGUUUUCCUCCACGUAUUAUAGACUACAUUCAGUAUCGACAUUUGAUUGUAAAAUACUUCAACGAAGAAGACAUACAAAGCGUUGAACAAAGUCUAAUUUGACUGGUUUGGUAUACUGUGGAUUCAUCAGUAUUCGUGUGAUACCAGUUUUCGUGGAUUCAUUAGUAUUCGUGUGAUACCAGUUUUCGUGGAAUCAUUAGUAUUCGUGUGAUACCAGUUUUUGUGGAUUUAGUUGGUAUAGGUGUAAACUCAUCAGUUUGGGCGUAAAUAACUCUGAGAAGGGUUCUAUAUGGUUUAUUAUAGGCAAUCUCAAAUAAACACCCUGUAACAUAUAGACACAAUACACACGUUCUAAGAACGAUAACUCUAAUCAUCUCUGUAUCAAUAAAAUCAAAUAUAAAUUA